rnacentral:lncRNA from 10 species
GUUCAUGAGCUCUUCAAGAUUGGGCCUUGCCCUUUGUAUUUUCAUUUCUGGAGCCUGGAAUAUCACUCAGCACAAAGUAUAUACUCAAUAAAGGUUUUCCUGGCCAGCCUUUGAUGCCAAGUGAUACAAAGAGUAAAAGAAUGAGCAGAUUCUACUGGGUCCUUUGAUGGAGAUAUAAGAGAUCCCUACUUUAGAACAGAGAAGAGCAGAUUUGCUGCCAAUUACCUGGGAAAAAGAACAUUGGUCUGAGGUGGGAUCCAGGAAACUUCUAUUAUAGAAGAUCAGCCUCCCCAACUAGACUGUGAGCGCCUUAAAGCAGGAAUUGUUAUAAUUAUUUUCACUGCCAAACUCGGCAUCUGGCAUAUCGUAUGCACUCAGGGAAUGUCUACGGAAUGAAUGAACUUAAGGAUAAUACACGUGACGGAAUGUUAAAAUGGAAGUUUUGGCUGAGAUCUAAAGAUGACAGAUAUAAGAUACCAAAGUGAACUGGAAACAGACCACCCUGAAGAAUGUGCAAGAAGGGUGCCUGAGGACCCAUUAAUCAACUCUUAAACCUUUCAUUGAUGUGGAAGGUCAGACAGAGAUGGAUUUUUAGGAAAGAGCUGUUGGUUUACUGCACAUCAGGCCUCCUUCCAGGGUGAAGUAUGAAGAGAUCCUCUCCCUUCAGGAGUCAGGAAGACACAGACCAGCAGAGAAUCUGCUGCAUGUCCCUGAGGUUGUGGCACAUGGUGGCUUGUAUGUGACUCCUGUCUGGAAGAGACAGGCUGGCUGACAGCUGCAGUGUAAAAGUGAAGUAGAGGUUACCCUGGGAUCAACCAGCACUGCCAGAGUCUGUCCAGAUCCAAAAGACAAAGGUUUCCCAUAGACCCCAAGUGGCCCAUGUAUGAGAGAGCUGCCAGGGGUUCUCAGAUCCUGUCCAACAUGGCCACCUAACGAGGUG